UACGGAGGGUGCAAGCGUUGUUCGGAAUCAUUGGGCGUAAAGAGCGUGUAGGCGGUCAGGUAAGUCAGAUGUGAAAGCCCUGGGCUCAACCCAGGAAGUGCAUUUGAAACUACCUAACUUGAGUACGGGAGAGGAAGGGGGAAUUCCCGGUGUAGAGGUGAAAUUCGUAGAUAUCGGGAGGAAUACCGGUGGCGAAGGCGCCCUUCUGGACCGAUACUGACGCUGAGACGCGAAAGCGUGGGUAGCAAACAGG
rnacentral:rRNA from 1 species